rnacentral:rRNA from 1 species
GAAGGUGUACUGUGAGGUAUGCUGGAGGUAUCAGAAGUGCGAAUGCUGACAUAAGUAACGAUAAAGCGGGUGAAAAGCCCGCUCGCCGGAAGACCAAGGGUUCCUGUCCAACGUUAAUCGGGGCAGGGUGAGUCGACCCCUAAGGCGAGGCCGAAAGGCGUAGUCGAUGGGAAACAGGUUAAUAUUCCUGUACUUGGUGUUACUGCGAAGGGGGGACGGAGAAGGCUAUGUUGGCCGGGCGACGGUUGUCCCGGUUUAAGCGUGUAGGCUGGUUUUCCAGGCAAAUCCGGAAAAUCAAGGCUGAGGCGUGAUGACGAGGCACUACGGUGCUGAAGCAACAAAUGCCCUGCUUCCAGGAAAAGCCUCUAAGCAUCAGGUAACAUCAAAUCGUACCCCAAACCGACACAGGUGGUCAGGUAGAGAAUACCAAGGCGCUUGAGAGAACUCGGGUGAAGGAACUAGGCAAAAUGGUGCCGUAACUUCGGGAGAAGG